rnacentral:piRNA from 1 species
UGGGAAGCAGUAAGCCUCUGAGCCCAGA